GUGGGGAAUAUUGGACAAUGGGCGAAAGCCUGAUCCAGCCAUGCCGCGUGUGUGAAGAAGGUCUUCGGAUUGUAAAGCACUUUAAGUUGGGAGGAAGGGCAUUAACCUAAUACGUUAGUGUUUUGACGUUACCGACAGAAUAAGCACCGGCUAACUUCGUGCCAGCAGCCGCGGUAAUACGAAGGGUGCAAGCGUUAAUCGGAAUUACUGGGCGUAAAGCGCGCGUAGGUGGUUCGGUAAGUUGGAUGUGAAAGCCCCGGGCUCAACCUGGGAACUGCAUCCAAAACUGGCGAGCUAGAGUACGGUAGAGGGUGGUGGAAUUUCCUGUGUAGCGGUGAAAUGCGUAGAUAUAGGAAGGAACACCAGUGGCGAAGGCGACCACCUGGACUGAUACUGACACUGAGGUGCGAAAGCGUGGGGAGCAAACAGGAUUAGAAACCCUGGUAGUCC
rnacentral:rRNA from 1 species